AUUGAACGCUGGCGGCAGGCCUAACACAUGCAAGUCGAGCGGAUGAAGGGAGCUUGCUCCUGGAUUCAGCGGCGGACGGGUGAGUAAUGCCUAGGAAUCUGCCUGGUAGUGGGGGAUAACGUCCGGAAACGGGCGCUAAUACCGCAUACGUCCUGAGGGAGAAAGUGGGGGAUCUUCGGACCUCACGCUCGCAGAGGAGCCUAGGUCGGAGUAGCUAGUUGGUUGGGUAAAGGCCUACCAAGGCGACGAUCCGUAACUGGUCUGAGAGGAUGAUCAGUCACACUGGAAGUGAGACACGGUCCAGACUCCUACGGGAGGCAGCAGUGGGGAAUAUUGGACAAUGGGCGAAAGCCUGGUCCAGCCGUGCCGAGUGUGUGAAGACGGUCUUCGGAUUGUAAAGCACUUUAAGUUGGGAGGAAGGGCAGUAAGUUAAUACCUUGCUGUUUUGACGUUACCAACAGAAUAAGCACCGGCUAACUUCGUG
rnacentral:rRNA from 1 species